CCCAGACUCCUACGGGAGGCAGCAGUGGGGGAUAUUGCACAAUGGGGGAAACCCUGAUGCAGCGACGCCGCGUGGGCGAAGAAGUAUUUCGGUAUGUAAAGCCCUAUCAGCAGGGAAGAAGAAAUGACGGUACCUGAGUAAGAAGCACCGGCUAAAUACGUGCCAGCAGCCGCGGUAAUACGUAUGGUGCAAGCGUUAUCCGGAUUUACUGGGUGUAAAGGGGGCGCAGACGGCAGCGCAAGCCAGGAGUGAAAGCCCGGGGCCCAACCCCGGGACUGCUCUUGGAACUGCGCGGCUGGAGUGCAGGAGGGGCAGGCGGAAUUCCUGGUGUAGCGGUGAAAUGCGUAGAUAUCAGGAGGAACACCGGUGGCGAAGGCGGCCUGCUGGACUGCGACUGACGUUGAGGCCCGAAAGCGUGGGGAGCAAACAGGAUUAGAUACCCGCGUA
rnacentral:rRNA from 1 species